UACAGAGGGGGCAAGCGUUAUUCGGAAUUAUUGGGCGUAAAGGGCGCGUAGGCGGCGAUUCAAGUGACGGGUGAAAUCCCUCGGCUUAACCGAGGAACUGCCUGUCAGACUGGAUUGCUUGAGGCCGGGAGAGGCGAGUGGAAUUCCCAGUGUAGCGGUGAAAUGCGUAGAUAUUGGGAGGAACACCAGUGGCGAAGGCGGCCAUCUGGGAGGGCACUGACGCUGAGACGCGAAAGCGUGGGGAGCAAACAGG
rnacentral:rRNA from 1 species